GGGUUGUGAGGUUAAGCGACUAAGCGUACACGGUGGAUGCCCUGGCAGUCAGAGGCGAUGAAGGGCGUGCUAAUCUGCGAUAAGCGCCGGUAAGGUGAUAUGAACCGUUAUAACCGGCGAUACCCGAAUGGGGAAACCCAGUGUGACUCGUCACACUAUCAUUAACUGAAUCCAUAGGUUAAUGAGGCGAACCGGGGGAACUGAAACAUCUAAGUACCCCGAGGAAAAGAAAUCAACCGAGAUUCCCCCAGUAGCGGCGAGCGAACGGGGAGGAGCCCAGAGCCUGAAUCAGCAUAUGUGUUAGUGGAAGCGUCUGGAAAGGCGCGCGAUACAGGGUGACAGCCCCGUACACAAAAGCGCAUGUGCUGUGAGCUCGAUGAGUAGGGCGGGACACGUGGUAUCCUGUCUGAAUAUGGGGGGACCAUCCUCCAAGGCUAAAUACUCCUGACUGACCGAUAGUGAACCAGUACCGUGAGGGAAAGGCGAAAAGAACCCCGGCGAGGGGAGUGAAAAAGAACCUGAAACCGUGUACGUACAAGCAGUGGGAGCACAGGUUUACCUGUGUGACUGCGUACCUUUUGUAUAAUGGGUCAGCGACUUAUAUUCUGUAGCAAGGUUAACCGAAUAGGGGAGCCGGAGGGAAACCGAGUCUUAAUUGGGCGUUAAGUUGCAGGGUAUAGACCCGAAACC
rnacentral:rRNA from 1 species